rnacentral:rRNA from 1 species
UACGUAGGGGGCAAGCGUUGUCCGGAUUUAUUGGGCGUAAAGAGCGUGUAGGCGGCUUUACAGGUCCGUUGUGAAAACUCGAGGCUCAACCUCGAGACGCCGGUGGAAACCGUAAAGCUAGAGUCCGGAAGAGGAGAGUGGAAUUCCCGGUGUAGCGGUGAAAUGCGCAGAUAUCGGGAGGAACACCGGUGGCGAAGGCGGUUCUCUGGGCCUUACCUGACGGCUGAGGAGCGAAAGCAUGGGGAGCGAACAGG